ACGAACGCUGGCGGCGGGGUUUAGGCAUGCAAGUCGAGCGAGAAAGUCUUCGGACGAGUACAGCGGCGUAAGGGGUGAGUAAUAGGUAGUUCACGUACCCUCGAGACGCGAAUAAUUCCCGAAAGGGGUUGUAAUGCGCGAUGAGACCACGGUCCUUCCCGGGGACAGGGGUCAAAGGUUCGGGAUCCUUCGGACCUGAGCGCUCAAGGAGCGGACGACCUCCGAUUAGCUAGAUGGCGGGGGGGUAACGGCCCACCAUGGCGAUGAUCGGUAGCCGGCCUGAGAGGGUGUCCGGCCACACUGCGGACUGAGACACUGCCCAGACUCCUACGGGAGGCUGCAGUCGCGAUCAUUCACAAUGGACGCAAGGUCUGAUGAUGCCACGCGCGUGCGGGAUGAAGGCCCUUUGGGUUGUAAACCGCUGUCAAGGGAGGGGAACCGUGGAUGUGAACAGCAUCCAGUCUGACUGCUCCCUAAAGGAAGCCCGGCAAAACAUGUGCCAGCAGCCGCGGUAAUACAUGUGGGGCAAGCGUUGUUCGGAAUUACUGGGCAUAAGGGUGCGUAGGCGGUUUGUUAAGUCACUGGUGAAAGUUUGCGGCCCAACCGUAAAAUUUGCCUGUGAUACUGGCGAACUCGAGUGCGUGAGGGGUAGGGGGAACGAGCAGUGUAGCGGUGAAAUGCGUAGAUAUUGCUCGGAAGGCCGGAGCCGAAGGGGCCCUACUGGUACGCAACUGACGCUGAGGCACGAAAGCGUGGGGAGCAAACAGGAUUAGAUACCCUGGUAGUCCACGCCGUAAAACUAUCAGCACUAGGUGGAUGCCGAAGCUAUCGGGUGUCCGCCGGAGGCAAAUUUGUUAAGUGCUGCGCCUGGGGAGUAUGGUCGCAAGGCUGAAACUCAAAGGAAUUGACGGGGGCUCAACAAGCGGGGUGGAGGAUGUGGUUUAAUUCGAAGCAACGCGAAGAACCUUACCAGGUCUUGACAUUCCGGGAUUAAUCCGAUGAAAGUCGGACGAUUGCCCUCAAGGUGUAACCGGAACAGGUGCUGCAGGCUGUCGUCAGCUCGUGCCGUGAGGUGUUAGGUUAAGUCCUUUAAACGAGCGAAACCCCUACGAUUAGUUACCAACGCGUCAUGGCGGGGACUCUAGUCGGACUGCCGCGAAAGUAGGAGGAAGGUGGGGACGACGUCAAGUCAUCAUGGCCUUUAUGAUCUGGGCUACACACGUCCUACAAUGGGUGGUACAACGGGUCGCCAAGUCGCAAGACGGAGCCAAUCCCUGAAAGCCACCCUCAGUUCAGAUUGUGGGCUGCAAUCCGCCCACAUGAAGCUGGAAUCGCUAGUAAUCGCGGAUCAGCUACGCCGCGGUGAAUAUGUUUCCUGAGCCUUGUACACACCGCCCGUCAAGCCACCCGAAGUUGGUCGUACCCGAAGUAAUAGUUCCAUCCGCAAGGGGGGGACGUUCCUAAGGUCAGGCCGGUGAGGGGGACU
rnacentral:rRNA from 1 species